rnacentral:rRNA from 1 species
UACGGAGGGUGCAAGCGUUAUCCGGAUUUACUGGGUUUAAAGGGAGCGCAGGCGGGCUGGUAAGUCAGUGGUGAAAGCCUUGAGCUUAACUCGAGAACUGCCAUUGAUACUAUCAGUCUUGAAUAUUGUUGAGGUUUGCGGAAUAAGUCAUGUAGCGGUGAAAUGCAUAGAUAUGACUUAGAACACCAAUUGCGAAGGCAGCUUGCUAAACAAACAUUGACGCUGAGGCACGAAAGCGUGGGGAGCGAACAGG